rnacentral:tmRNA from 1 species
CACGAAAACCGAAGGCUGGAAUAAGCAUGUAGAAAGCGUGCGGCUUCACCGUUUGGACGGGAGUUCGAUUCUCCCCAGCUCCACAC